CUUCGACUCCAAGAGGUGACAGAUCGAUUUCUUCCUUCCUUCCUUCUUCUCUUUAACCCCUUCAUCAAUCCCCUAUGAAUUAAGUCGAAUAGAUUUUGGUACCCUCGACGUGCAUACGACGGACAACCUGCGGUGUAUGAAAGUCAUCAGAUUGUUGCAAAUAUGUUGUGAGAACUGCAACUAUGAUUCGACACAUUGUGCUCCACUGUCUGCACUUCUGAAAACAGAUCCCAAAUAAAGAGAACUAAUAGCCACCACCCACUUUGGUGAUUAUCUGCCAAUGUAUCCCACGCGGGCAAACUGCUGUUGGUCUUCGUGUUCUUCAUUUUUCAUUUUGAGCGAGUAAAUAGCUUUAUCAUAACUCUCUCUAGCUUACUUAUGGCGAUUAUUGUCUUUUGUUAGAAUCCUGGAAUAAUGUAACAACAGCAGCAUUUUUAGAGAAUCAGGCUCUCAGGCAUCAGGUUAUAAGGAGCUGUCUUAUGUGUGCUAAACAGAAAACUUUAUUUUAGUAUAUGCUUUAUUUUUCACAAACUUCCUGUAGGGUUAUUGCUGCGGACCUUCACUUACCUUGUCAACACAGUAAUCCAAUGUAAUUUAAAGAUGCGGAAUUACUACCUUUCAAUACUUUAUUAUUUA